AGUGAACGCUGGCGGUAGGCCUAACACAUGCAAGUCGAACGGCAGCACAGUAAGAGCUUGCUCUUACGGGUGGCGAGUGGCGGACGGGUGAGGAAUACAUCGGAAUCUACUUUUUCGUGGGGGAUAACGUAGGGAAACUUACGCUAAUACCGCAUACGACCUACGGGUGAAAGCAGUGGAUCUUCGGACCUUGCGCGAUUGAAUGAGCCGAUGUCGGAUUAGCUAGUUGGCGGGGUAAAGGCCCACCAAGGCGACGAUCCGUAGCUGGUCUGAGAGGAUGAUCAGCCAAACUGGAACUGAGACACGGUCCAGACUCCUACGGGGGCAGCAGUGGGGAAUAUUGGACAAUGGGCGCAAGCCUGAUCCAGCCAUACCGCGUGGGUGAAGAAGGCCUUCGGGUUGUAAAGCCCUUUUGUUGGGAAAGAAAAGCAGCAGGUUAAUACCCCGCUGUUCUGACGGUACCCAAAGAAUAAGCACCGGCUAACUUCGUG
rnacentral:rRNA from 1 species